AGCUCACCUCCCCCUCCCUCAGCUCCUGCACCUGCUCUGCUGAUUGGAACCAGCUGACCUUCAUCUCCUCAUCACCCUGCCGGCCUUCUUAAGGGAUCUUCUCAUCAGAAUUCAGCGCCAGUUCGUUAUACUCACUCCGGUUCCCUCACCACUGGUCUUGCUGGUUUCAUCAUCCUGAGCUCUCCACCGCGCCCCUCGCUGGUCCCGCCGUCCUCGGCGUCCACGUCCUGCCUCAAUCUGGUUCCGUCGUCCUCGGCGUCCACGUCCUGCCCCAAGCUGGUUCCGCCGUCCUCGGCGUCCACGUCCUGCCUCAAGCUGGUCCCGCCGUCCUCGGCGUCCACGUCCUGCCUCAGGCAGUUUCCACCGUCCACGGUGCCCACGCCUCGCCUUACGCCCGUCCCAAGAACUAUAAGUCUCCAUCCGAAGAGGAUUCAACCACAAAAACCUUGUAAAAAUAAACCUCUUCUAACCCA